UCAUUUUAGAAGACACCAAGUCUCAGGAGCUACUAUUGUUGGAUCUGAAAUGUCAGAAAAUAGGCUUUCUAUCUGUUACCUAAAGGAACAGUUACUCCCAGCGUGAGGACAAGACAAAGAGAAACUGUGAUUAGAAAGAGGAAGAAUAAAGUAAGAUGAGCUUAAAUGUGACAAAAUAAACAAGCAAAAAGAAGAAAUGGAGUAGGAGACCAGGUA